rnacentral:rRNA from 1 species
CGGGGGACAAAGUGACAGGUGGUGCAUGGUUGUCGUCAGCUCGUGUCGUGAGAUGUUGGGUUAAGUCCCGCAACGAGCGCAACCCUUAAGCUUAGUUGCCAUCAUUAAGUUGGGCACUCUAAGUUGACUGCCGGUGACAAACCGGAGGAAGGUGGGGAUGACGUCAAAUCAUCAUGCCCCUUAUGAUUUGGGCUACACACGUGCUACAAUGGACAAUACAAAGGGCAGCGAAACCGCGAGGUCAAGCAAAUCCCAUAAAGUUGUUCUCAGUUCGGAUUGUAGUCUGCAACUCGACUACAUGAAGCUGGAAUCGCUAGUAAUCGUAGAUCAGCAUGCUACGGUGAAUACGUUCCCGGGUCUUGUACACACCGCCCGUCACACCACGAGAGUUUGUAACACCCGAAGCCGGUGGAGUAACCUUUUAGGAGCUAGCCGUCGAAGGUGGGACAAAUGAUUGGGGUGAAGUCGUAACAAGGUAGCCGUAUCGGAAGGUGCGGCUGGAUCACCUCCUUU